UACGUAGGGUGCGAGCGUUGUCCGGAAUUACUGGGCGUAAAGAGCUCGUAGGUGGUUUGUCGCGUUGUUCGUGAAAACCGGGGGCUUAACCCUCGGCGUGCGGGCGAUACGGGCAGACUUGAGUACUGCAGGGGAGACUGGAAUUCCUGGUGUAGCGGUGGAAUGCGCAGAUAUCAGGAGGAACACCGGUGGCGAAGGCGGGUCUCUGGGCAGUAACUGACGCUGAGGAAGCGAAAGCGUGGGGAGCGAACAGG
rnacentral:rRNA from 1 species